CCGCGGGAUUAGAGUUUGAUCCUGGCUCAGAAUCAACGCUGGCGGCGCGCUUAACACAUGCAAGUCGCACGAGAAAGUGGAGCAAUCCAUGAGUACAGUGGCGUACGGGUGAGUAACACGUGGAUCAUCUACCUCUUGAUGGGGAAUAACCCUGGGAAACCGGGGCUAAUACCGCAUAAGCCUGAAAAGGGAAAGCGUUGUCCUUAAAAAACGACACGUCGAGAGAGGAGUCCGCGGCCGAUUAGCUAGUUGGUAGGGUAAAGGCCUACCAAGGCAAUGAUCGGUAGCCGGCCUGAGAGGGCACACGGCCACACUGGCACUGAAACACGGGCCAGACUCCUACGGGAGACAGCAGUGGGGAAUCUUGCACAAUGGAGGAAACUCUGAUGCAGCGACGCCGCGUGAGCGAUGAAGCCCUUCGGGGUGUAAAGCUCUUUCGGCAGGAACGAUAAUGACGGUACCUGCAGAAGAAGCUGCGGCUAACUACGUGCCAGCAGCCGCGGUAAUACGUAGGCAGCAAGCGUUGUUCGGAAUUACUGGGCGUAAAGAGUGUGUAGGCGGUUCUCUAAGUUCCGUGUGAAAUCUCCCGGCUCAACUGGGAGGGUGCGCGGGAAACUGGAGGGCUCGAGUAUGGGAGAGGAAAGCGGAAUUCCUGGUGUAGCGGUGAAAUGCGUAGAUAUCAGGAGGAACACCUGCGGUGUAGACAGCUUUCUGGACCAUCACUGACGCUGAGACACGAAAGCGUGGGUAGCAAACAGGAUUAGAUACCCUGGUAGUCCACGCCCUAAAACGAUGCAUACUUGGUGUGAGCCGUUCAUUCGGUUCGUGCCGGAGCUAACGCGUUAAGUAUGCCGCCUGGGGA
rnacentral:rRNA from 1 species